UGCGGAAUGGUGUAACGGCAGCACAUACGGCUCUGACCCGUAGUGUCUAGGUUCAAAUCCUAGUUCCGCAGCCA
rnacentral:tRNA from 1 species